AAACUUAUUGCCGGUCUAUCUUCCGGUCAACGGGCCGCACUUGCCGAAACACCACUCCGUAGCAUGCUUCAGAUACCUUCGCUGAAGAUGCGUACACUGUUGAUCCGGUACAUGGUUGAGAUUUUUGAUCCUAGCAAGGGCAGAUUCAUUGUACAAGACUUGGUUGGCGAAGUGUCUCUCGGUGCCGUGGAUGUUGAGUGCAUCUUGGCCUUGGAGAAGCACGGACUGUCGGCAGAAGGUAUUCUCGGUGAGGAAGGUGAGGAUGUUAAAGAUCGAGUGCCGCCUCAAUUCCUGAGCAAGACCACAGGUAACAUAGUCAUCGAUGAUCUGAUUGUGGACAUCACAAAAAAUAAAUCUGCUGACGACGAUUUCCUUCGGAGAGUUGUCCUCGUGUUGCUUGGAACAUUUCUUGCUCCCAUGUCGAGCAAGACUGUACCAAAGCAAUAUUACGCAUUGGUGGACGAUGUGAAGCGUAUAUCCAAGAUUAAUUGGAAUGCAUUCACCCUCCGGGUUCUGCUGGUCUGCCUUCGCAACGUGAGGAAAGGCAAACACCUCCGCCAAUGGCCGAGAGGGAACUUAGCUCUCCUGCAG
rnacentral:rRNA from 1 species